CAACCCCUCAGGCCCUGCCUGGCGUUGGAGGACUGCGCUACGCAGCCUCCCAAAGCAAGCGGCGGCGGCGCCCCAAAUCCGAACGCAGUAGUUUUCUCUCGUUCUGGGUCCUUGGGACGGCGUCCGGCCGGAAAACCCUCAUCUAUAUCGU
rnacentral:misc_RNA from 1 species